CAUAAGAGAGCUCCAAGCUGAGGGGGAGAUAACCAGACACCCCAAGAUCUGUCACGCAUCCUAAGGGCUUUGGCAUCAUUAGCAAAACUCUAAGGCAGAGGUUGGGUGAGAGUGGAGCAGCUGGAGUGGCAGCACCAGGCGGCAGAGACUGGA
rnacentral:lncRNA from 1 species